ensembl:lncRNA
CACACACACACACACACACACACACAGGCAUACACCCCUUAUAUAUUCGGUUCAGCAUUUUAGGAAAGUGUUGUUAUCGGAGGUAUUUGAUUCAUGUUGCAAUUUAGGAUUUUGGUUUAAAUGGCUCGUUGAUGUGUAAAUUUGUUUCUGUAGAUACAUGUGUAUUUCUGAGUGCGUAUUCAUCUGGAAGUCAUCGUGUCCGUGCACUACGAUUACGUGUGUGAGUACGUGGAAUUAUGUGUGUAUGUGUGUGUGUGUGAAUCGUGUGUCCUUGCAUAGUUAGCCUGUUGUCCCCCUUUUUUACAUGCAUAAAGUACAUACACAAUAUCAGCUGUUCCCCUUCCCUACCUCCCUGUUUCCUCUGAUGAGUGGUACGCCCCGGCGUGCUGCCAAUGAAGGGAGAAUAAUUAAACGGCUGUGAGUUUGAGCCUGGCGUUGGCUAAUGGAUUGUUACUGAGAGGAAAUGAGACAGGCAGCAUGGGGGAGCUGGGUGGUAAAGCAGACCUCGACUUUGGAUAAUGAAACACUGUAAGCCAUCGGGGUGGAGAGAAGACACCUCUAAAAAGAAAGGAAAUGCUUUUGUUGUAUGACUACUUCCUUUUGUCAUAUAGGUGGGUGCAGGUGGCGAGUAGUCACACGAUGUGAAAGAAGCAUUCUGGUGAUGGAGAGAAAGAGCUGUGAAGAAGAAGUGCAGGCAGCAGGAAGUAGAGGUCAACACCAGAUCUCUGGGAUUUUGCUCUCCACUGGACCCACAUGAGGUGGAUGAUUCUCCUGAUCAAGUGGAAAGGAGCCUGAAUUUCAGCAAGAAAGAACCAUCAAGAUAUAUCUCACAUGCUUUAGUGACAAUCUCACUAUGACCUGCACUGUACUUUAUAUUUCUGUAUUUCUGUCAACUAGUUCUAAGAUUGUUGACCAAACUGACAAUCCUCUCAACAAUGGACUGAAAAUAGUCAAUCCAACAAAUUCUUUGACUUUGCUCCAAUAGGCAUCAAUGUAUUUAUUUUUAAAUUUUUAUACGGGAGAACACUUCCCAAAAUAAGAUAAAAAUAUUCCACACAUUAAAACUUGCACCUAUUUCAUGUAAUUGAUUGAGUCUAACAAGGAUAUUUUUUGACAGCUAAAUAAAGACUUUUUUCUCCCUUUAA